UACGUAGGGGGCAAGCGUUGUCCGGAUUUAUUGGGCGUAAAGAGCGUGUAGGCGGCCAGGUAGGUCUGCUGUGAAAACUCGAGGCUUAACCUCGAGCUGUCGGCGGAAACCUCUGGCUAGAGUCCGGAAGAGGAGAAUGGAAUUCCCGGUGUAGCGGUGAAAUGCGCAGAUAUCGGGAAGAACACCCGUGGCGAAGGCGGUUCUCUGGGACGGUACUGACGCUGAGACGCGAAAGCGUGGGGAGCGAACAGG
rnacentral:rRNA from 1 species